CACGUAGGCGGACUGGUCAGUUGGGGGUGAAAUCCCAGGGCUCAACCCUGGAACUGCCUCCAAUACUGCCAGUCUUGAGUCCGAGAGAGGUGAGUGGAAUUCCUAGUGUAGAGGUGAAAUUCGUAGAUAUUAGGAAGAACACCAGUGGCGAAGGCGGCUCACUGGCUCGGUACUGACGCUGAGGUGCAAAAGCGUGGGGAGCAAACA
rnacentral:rRNA from 1 species